rnacentral:rRNA from 1 species
AUUGAACGCUGGCGGCAGGCCUAACACAUGCAAGUCGAGCGGAUGAAGGGAGCUUGCUCCUGGAUUCAGCGGCGGACGGGUGAGUAAUGCCUAGGAAUCUGCCUGGUAGUGGGGGAUAACGUCCGGAAACGGGCGCUAAUACCGCAUACGUCCUGCGGGAGCAAGUGGGGGAUCUUCGGACCUCACGCUAUCAGAUGAGCCUAGGUCGGAUUAGCUAGCUGGUGGGGUAAAGGCCUACCAAGGCGACGAUCCGUAACUGGUCUGAGAGGAUGAUCAGUCACACGGGAGCGGGGACACGGUCCAGGCUCCUACGGGAGGCAGCAGUGGGGAAUAUUGGACAAUAGGCGGAAGCCUGAUCCAGCCAUGCCGCGUGUGUGAAGAAAGUCUUCGGAUUGUAAAGCACUUUAAGGUGGGAGGAAGGGCAGUAAGUUAAUACCUUGCUGUUUUGACGUUAACAACAGAAUAAGCACCGGCUAACUUCGUG